CUAAUGGUCACUAUCUUGGAGCUACACUGGAUAGGAAUGGACUGCAACCUGGCCGCUUCUAUAUUGGGAGCACACAAGUUAAAUUAUGUUGAUUCUCCUUGACCGUUAAAUUAUGUUGGGAGCAAAAGCUAUAACAAAGUGGUGUAUUAAUCUAACGAAUAAGAUUUUCUUCUUUUCUUUUUGUUUCUUCCUAUUUUGGUACGAUAGUUAAGCAAUUAGGCACAAUAUAUAUUUAUAUAAUCAUUUGUUAAUUUUUUAAAUGUAUUUUAUAUAAUUAACAAGUAAUUUAUAGCUUAUUUCCAUAAAACAAAUAUUCUAUGUUCAGAGAUAUAUUAGAUCAAAGUUGUUACUAUCUUUUCAAUACAAUAAUGAAUGCUAAAAGGUCAUACUUAAUUAAGGGGAAAGUAAAAUAUUUAGGGUACCUAAGCAGAUAAACAUAACCUAGUCAAAUUGGAUGAAUGGAAAAAUUUCUUCCUCUUUGCCAAUUCAAUCAACUGAACAAGAAAACAAAAGAAAAGUGUAUUUAGAAGCAAGCUAUUGAAUCUAAUGGACACCCUCUUUCAAUGCAUCGAAUAAUUAGUGUGACUAAUUUACUAUACACAUUAUAUAUAUACACACACACACAUAAACUACGUUUAGGAGAAUGAUUUUGACACUCUCUAAUUGAUUAUGUCAUUCUUUUGUUGAUGGCCUUCUUUCAGAUGCUGCUGCACAAGGGUUACAACCAGACCAAAUUAUUUUCAUAGAUGUUGCAAUAAAGAAUGAACAUAUCAGGCGAAGUGCUUUAGCAGACUUAUUUCUUGACACGCCUUUAUGCAAUGUGCACACAACAGGAACAGAUAUAUUAUAGGCGGGUUUGCCUAUGAUCACUCUACCUAUGGAGAAAAUGGCUACUCGAGUUGCCGGAUCACUCUGUCUUGCUACUGGACUUGGGGAGGAGAUGAUCAUUCCCAGCAUGAAAGAGUAUGAAGAGAGGGCAGUAUCACUGGCCUUGAGUCGCCCAAAGCUUCAAGCUCUCACUAAUAAGCUUAAGUCUGUUCGCAUGACUUGCCCUUUAUUUGACAUAGCUCGCUGGGUGAGGAAUCUUGAAAGAGGAUAUUUUAAAAUGUGGAAUCUACAUUGCUAGCAAUCAUGGAUGAGUAAUUUUUUGUGUUUUGGCUUCGCAAUGCUCUUGAUUAAUUAACUAGAACAUUAAUAAGAUAUACAAAAAAA